rnacentral:lncRNA from 1 species
AGAGGAGAGGAGAGGAGAGGAGAGGAGAGGAGAGGAGAGGAGAGGAGAGGAGAGAAAAACGAGGUUCAUCAUCGAUGGUGACCACUGCUUGAGUCAAAACAACUUCCUUUUCAAAUAAGCAUCAACAAUUUCAAAUUGUAUCCGUGGUACUCAACAAAUCAAACUCUCAAUGUAAUUGUAAUAUAAAUGUGACAAGCAACAAAGGAAAGUAACAAACAUUUUUUUUUUUGUAUUUUUUUUUUUGUAUUUUAUUAAUCUUAAUUCAUUUAGGUUUUUAUUUAUUAUGAGGUCUGCAUUGUUACCAAAUAGUUAUAUGGUUUCACAGCUGUAUGCGCUUCAACUUUGGGUUUUAGUCCUGUUAUUUCUGCCCAUUUGGUUUGACUAGCCCAGUGUCUGCGUGCACUUUGGGUUUUAGUCGUGAUGGAGAGAGAGACAGAUCAAGGAGAAGAGGAGAUGGAGAGAGAGACAGAUCGAAGAGGAGAUGGAGAGACAGACAGAUCAAGGAGAAGAGGAGAUGAGAGAGAGACAGAUCAAGGAGAGGAGGAGAUGAGAGAGAGAGACAGAUCAAGGAGAAGAGGAGAUGAGAGAGAGAGACAGAUCAAGGAGAAGAGGAGAUGGAGAGACAGACAGAUCAAGGAGAAGAGGAGAUGAGAGAGACAGAUCAAGGAGAAGAGGAGAUGGAGAGACAGACAGAUCAAGGAGAAGAGGAGAUGGAGAGACAGACAGAUCAAGGAGAAGAGGAGAUCAACAGAAGGAUAUAGCAGUAGGUAGAGCUUUUCAAAGAAUAAUUGAAUUAUUCUUUUUAAAUGUUUUUAGUUUUAUCCAGAUUUCGCCCCUGAUAACAAUUAAUUAAACACUUCUGUUUUAGAUCUUUUGAAAUACAUGAAUUAUACUGUUUGGCUGCUUCUUCACAGCUUUCUGAGGAGACACGAGGAGAAGAGAUGGAGAGAGACAGACAGCUUUCUGAAGGAGACAUGAGGAGAAGAGAUGGAGAGAGACAGACAGCUUUCUGAAGGAGACAUGAGGAGAAGAGAUGGAGAGAGACAGACAGCUUUCUGAAAGAGACAUGAGGAGAAGAGAUGGAGAGAGACAGACAGCUUUCUGAAAGAGACAUGAGGAGAAGAGAUGGAGAGAGACAGACAGCUUUCUGAAGGAGACAUGAGGAGAAGAGAUGGAGAGAGACAGACAGCUUUCUGAAGGAGACAUGAGGAGAAGAGGAGAUGGAGAGAGACAGACAGCUUUCUGAGGAGACAUGAGGAGAAGAGAUGGAGAGAGACAGACAGCUUUCUGAAGGAGACAUGAGGAGAAGAGGAGAUGGAGAGAGACAGACAGCUUUCUGAAGGAGACAUGAGGAGGAGAGGAGAUGGAGAGAGACAGACAGCUUUCUGAAGGAGACAUGAGGAGAAGAGAUGGAGAGAGACAGACAGCUUUCUGAAGGAGACAUGAGGAGGAGAGGAGAUGGAGAGAGACAGACAGCUUUCUGAAGGAGACAUGAGGAGAAGAGAUGGAGAGAGACAGACAGCUUUCUGAAGGAGACAUGAGGAGAAGAGAUGGAGAGAGACAGACAGCUUUCUGAAGGAGGCAUGAGGAGAAGAGGAGAUGGAGAGAGACAGACAGCUUUCUGAGGAGACAUGAGGAGAAGAGAUGGAGAGAGACAGACAGCUUUCUGAAGGAGGCAUGAGGAGAAGAGAUGGAGAGAGACAGACAGCUUUCUGAAGGAGACAUGAGGAGGAGAGGAGAUGGAGAGAGACAGACAGCUUUCUGAAGGAGACAUGAGGAGAAGAGAUGGAGAGAGACAGACAGCUUUCUGAAGGAGACAUGAGGAGAAGGGUGUUAGACACCUUGCUGGGUGAUUGUCUUCACCCGUUUAGAGUCAGGGACAAGAGCAGAUUGUUAUACAAGAGGAGGAAAAAAUGGGAGAGAGAGAGACAGCUUUCAACAACAACUGCCCGGCAGAGACCAUGGAAACCAUGGAAACCACGUAACAACUCCUCCCCCUCAGAGAGGUCAAAGGUCAUAUGCGUUUAUCUAUUAGCACCAAGGUAUUGUUGAGUAGAAGAGUGGUUCUGUCUGUCGCUGGAUCAGGAAAUGCUCUCUUCCUAUCAGUCACAAGAAUUUAAUUCUUCUUUCAGUCGCUUUGAGGAGGUUCAAGGAAAUGAACAAACUGUCAGGAACAACUAUCUCAAAUGACAUGUAGCCAGAAAAUGACAUGUAGCCAGAAAAUGGCAUGUAGCCAGAAAAUGGCAUGAGGUGAUCUGACGAAGAUAUCCCGGCAGGGGAAUGGAAGCCGUAACGUGGGUCACAACACUGAAAUGGUUAAAACAGACGUGAGGUGAAGUCUGUGGGCUGCAUCCCAAAUGAUCCCAUAUUCCCUAUGUAGUGCACUACUUUUAACCAGGGACUUAUGGAACACUAUUCCCUAUAUAGUACACUACUUUAGACCAGGGCCCUAUAGAACACUAUUCCCUAUAUAGGCUACUAC